UUAAAUGAACCGAAUAGAAAUCAGAAUAGAAACAUCUGAAUGAUCUUUCUUGGACAUAGCCUACAUUUUGAAGUGACCCUUUGAAUUAAAAAGGUUCCUCACCCCUGCUUUUGAGGAAAAACAUCAAUGUGCUUGGCCACUCUGGUUUUUAAAUUAUUCUGAACUAGCAAGGAUUGUUCAAGGAAGUUCAAAACAGACUGUCUCUGGUUAAAUUAGUUCUACACCAAGCCUUUAGGUGGCAGUACAACUAAUUCGCACAAUGCGAAUUCCACACACAAGCCACAAAGAAGCCAUCUUCCGCGGUCAACAACACCGACCUAUCUGAACAACACCACGCGCUGUCUGUGUGGUUUCACUGUUACAAGUUUCUUGGCGAUAUGGGGGAAAGUUCCUCACAUACCAACGGAAAAUGGGCUUCACAUACAUGCUGCUGUCUCAUAAUAUGGCGAAGACGAGUCACUUGAAGGCCUAACAGCUCUUAUGAGGAGCAGUCUUGCCAUAGAAGACUGAAAGAAUGAGCUGUAGAAACAACAGGGUGCCUGCUGCAGUAUGACGAGGACGCCCUGAUCAUAGAAGGUCCAGUGUCUUGGCAGGGUGAAAUGGCACUGAUAUCGGUAUGUGGUGAUAUCAGUUAAAAUUAAUGAAUUAAUUCUCAUAUCUGAAUAAUGUGAACACUGGAUUUACCACACACUCACACACACCCUAGUCCUAGAUGAUACAACCAAGGUUACUUUUACCACAGCUCUGGCACUGCAUCAAAUUUCUUUUCUUUUUUAUAGAACUGGACAGGUCAUUUAUUCGUUCCCCUUGUUUUUUGCAGUGUCCUGCAGGAUGCUGUGUCCUGCAAUCCUGUGUGCUGUGCUACAGACGCGUGUGGAGGUCAACCCGAAAUGGGCACAGUAGAGUGAAAGAGGGUAAGCUUAACCUAUAGCCUACGUCAGGGUUGGGGAACCUUUCUCAUUCGAAUGGCCACUUCAAAUUCAUCCGAGGGGCCAUAAAAGUCCUCCAAGGGCCGUACUAUGAACACAAACCAGGAUUUUCCCUUUCACUUUAGGCCUAUAUUGAAGGCAGCCACAUUUAAACAAACGCCAACUUCAGGUUCCCUGAAUAUAACUUAAUUGUAUUGCUAAUGUAUUUUCUAAGAUUCCUUUACAAAAUAUGUCAUAUUUCAUGUGAAGAUGGAAUUGCAUUAAAAUUAUAUCGGGGGCCGGAUAAAACAGCCUCAAGGGUCGCAAACGGCCCUAGAGACAUAGGUUCCCCACCCCUGUCCUACAUUGUCAAUAUGAC